rfam:Aedes albopictus isolate Foshan contig47355, whole genome shotgun sequence.
AGAUAGCUUAGUGGUCAAGGCUAUGGAUCGCCAAUCCGGAGACGGCGGGUUCAAUUCCCGUUCU